rnacentral:rRNA from 1 species
GACGAACGCUGGCGGCGUGCCUAAUACAUGCAAGUCGAGCGGACAGACGGGAGCUUGCUCCCUGAUGUUAGCGGCGGACGGGUGAGUAACACGUGGGUAACCUGCCUGUAAGACUGGGAUAACUCCGGGAAACCGGGGCUAAUACCGGAUGGUUGUCUGAACCGCAUGGUUCAGACAUAAAAGGUGGCUUCGGCUACCACUUACAGAUGGAUCCGCGGCGCAUUAGCUAGUUGGUGAGGUAACGGCUCACCAAGGCAACGAUGCGUAGCCGACCUGAGAGGGUGAUCGGCCGCACUGGGACUGAGACACGGCCCAGACGCCUACGGGAGGCGGCAGGAGGGAAUCUUGCGCAAUGGACGAAAGUCUGACGGAGCAACGCCGCGUGAGUGAUGAAGGGUUUCGGAUCGUAAAGCUCUGUUGUUAGGGAAGAACAAGUGCCGUUCAAAUAGGGCGGCACCUUGACGGUACCUAAACAGAAAGCCACGGCUAACUACGUG